CUUGGCUAGGCCUGACAGGAACUGCUACUUCCUCAUCUGUGCAGAGCCAAAUCCUGGUGGAGGGGAUUGUUGAUCAGAAAGAGAAAGUAAAAAUAGCUGCUUCUAAAGGAAAGGAAUGUUUCCAGUGCUACGUGGGGUAUUUGAAAGGGGAUUUAGAAGAAGGAAUGGAAGUCAGCGCUUGUACCGAUGGGCAACAGAUGGCUACUGUUAAUACCUAUCUCAACAUUAAUGGUGAAAGGCAAGAAAACAUGGGACAGAUGACUCUAUCAGCUGUUAAUGGAAGCCUGAGUUUUCUGGCUCAUGGUUGUGGGGAUCCAGUUCUUAAGGCUGAGUACAAACUUAAUGAAAUUGGGAGCCUUCUGAAAGCCAAACUGGUGGAGAAGAUAAAGAAGUUUGAGGGAUAUAUGUGGAGAUUCAGGAGCUCAGUAAGUGUCUGUACAUCAUCUGGGAAAGCACCAUGAAAUGUCCCUGCAUUAUUAUUAAAAAUUAUACCAUCUGCAGUUGUUUUGUUUUGCUCAAACAUUUAAAUGGUUCUUCCUGUGCAUUUCACACAUAGACUAAAAGUGUUUUUCAUGCUGAAGAUCCUGUAUCUCUGUGCCACUACCAUGUGCUUCAGAAUUGCCUUGGAAUGGAGUCAAAACUUUGCUUGUGAUCACAAUGUAAUGUGGUAUUUCUUCUUUCUUAGGUGCAGCAAGUUGAUUUUCUGUCAGAAGCAGCCUUCUGGCCCUCCAUAGCCUUGCAAAAGGUAGUGGGAUUACUCCACAGUGUGGGUAGCGCUGUCGCCCAGGUGUGGAAACAAAGUGGAAUUGGGCAUAUACUGAGAAGUAAACUCCCACUUUACCUGGAUAAAAUUCAAGACAUUGUCCAGCAAAUGCAGAAUGAAUUGCAAAGUAAGCAAAACCAUGCAAAGCAAGGAGAAUAAGGACAAUGUCAGUGCAGGGCAAAACAAGUGUGAGUGUAAAAGAUGCUGAACAGUACAAAUGUUUCUAUUUUAAUGUAACAAAAAGUGCCAGGCUUGGCUUUUAGUUUACAGAGUGGGAGCCUUGAUGCAAUAAGCUGUAAGUAAGUUCACUGUGAGCACUGUUGUAAUGAAAUAAUUGAAAAAGCAUUCUCUUGGACACAGGAGUCUGGGUCAGUCAAAUGAGAACAGAGCCCCUAUUCCUAAUCUGAAGCCUUUCUGCUAACAUUUCCCUGCAAGCAUUUUCUCCUAAAGGGCUGGUCAUAUCCAUCCUUCAGUUUUGGAUGCUUGUAUUAAUCUGAUUUCACCUGAACUGUUUUUUUCUAAGUCUAUCCAGCAGCCGCUAAUUCACUGUUGGGCUGGUCUAUAGCCCGACACUUCUCACUAUGAAGAAAUACAGUCAGCUGUAAUGGGCAGAGAGGACCCCCAGUUCUCACAAGAAUAAAACCUCACUCCACUUACCUCUAGAUGCUUCC
rnacentral:lncRNA from 14 species